rnacentral:lncRNA from 1 species
UUUCCCCUUCGUCUACCCAGAGAUAGAAUGUUCAGGUGGGUGAGCUUGUGGUAUAAAUGCCUUUCAAAACCACUGAAACCUCUUCCCUUCGUCUCUUCCACCGCAGCCACCCGGGCGCUUUAUGGCAGUCGACGG